rnacentral:rRNA from 1 species
ACGGGGGGUGCGAGCGUUGUUCGGAAUUAUUGGGCGUAAAGAGCGUGUAGGCGGCUUCCUCCUUCCGAUGAUAAAUCCCUGGGCUUAACCCAGGACGUGCAUUUGAAACUAUUCGGCUAGAGUAGGGGAGAGGAAAGUGGAAUUCCUGGUGUAGAGGUGAAAUUCGUAGAUAUCAGGAGGAACACCGGUGGCGAAGGCGACUUACUGGCCCGAUACUGACGCUGAGGCGCGAGAGCGUGGGUAGCAAACAG